CAUGAAGGAAUGCAAAACAAUAUGUUGUUUACAGAAAUUGUAUGGGAAAGUUUUCCAACAGAAUGUAAACUCAGAAGGCUUUAGAAAAACUUAAGAAUCAGGGCGACAAUAAGGAGCCAUGCCUUUUAACGAAAACAGGGUGGGGUUAGCUUAGAUAUUUGGAAGAAAUCCUUUGCUGUGAGAGUGGUGAGACACUGGCAGCUGUUGCAGAUAGAAGCUGAGGAUGCUCCAUCUCUGGAAGUGUCCAAGACCAGGUUGGAUGAGGCUUUGAGUGACCUGGUCCAGCGGAAGGUGCCCCUGUUUGUGGCAGAGAGUUGGGACUAGAUGAUCUCUAAGGUCCCUUCCAACCCAAACAUUUCUAUGAUUAUUCACCUCAAAACUCCUAAUGUACUACCAAUAACUUUAAGUUACACUUGUCGCCAUGUCUCCUAGUUUUGCUUGUGGAGGUUGAGAAGGGGUGGAGCCUGUGGCCAUGCAGGCACAGCUGGGCUGCUAUUCUAUAUCAUCCCCAUCAUUGCUGGGCUGUGGCUUCAGGGAGAGAAAAAGUGAAGGCACCGCAGAAACAGCACUGCUUUGUUCCAUUUCUUCCUCAGGGAAGUUACCAGGAGAAGCACUGCAAAUCUUGUCCCUCUUCUGCCACUGCCUGUCCUUUCCUGUUCCUCAGGAAGAAUGCUGCUCCAAGCAGCAAGCACAGCUGAGCCCAGCAGAGCACCAUGACAACAGUGUGGGAUGAGCCAUGGGGAAUGAAAGUGAGCCUGAGCCUGAGUCCAGCCGAGCCAAGCCUAGUGGAGAAGACCUGGGCCAAGCUGAUACUAUGAAGGACAGUUGAGCCCAGCAGUUGAAAUCAGGUGACACAACACAGACUGUUCCAGCUUUUGGGAGACCAAGAUGUUUAUUAUCAGCUUGGGGUCUCAGCCCUCUUGGCGCCAGAGAUGACCAGAUAACCCCCUGCCGGCCAGACCUGGGUUAUCUCAUCCAUAUGCACCAGCUGAGGUGUUGCCACAAGCAUAUUCAACUAAGCUUAACAAUUUAAUUCUGAUGAUGUCAUCAAGUACUUGCAUAUCAGGUGCUGUGAGCCCCAACACCAGCAAGGCUAUCCCCGUGCUCUCAGUGUGUGGAAAUACUGGUGCAUGACCAAAGGACUAAGAGAUUACAUGGACAUCACUAAGAUCCCAGCAGUGAAGGGAUCAGGACAUCAUACUGACAUUCCUGAAGCCCUGCCUCUGAGUUUAUCACUGGAAUAAGGUUGGACAGAUUCAUAGCUGCACUCCUGGUAAUUAAAAAGAAAUAGCUACAGAGAUAACAACAGAAAACAGAAGUGACUUCUUUCUCCACAGCCCACAAAACCCAUUCCCAUGACUCAUCACAUCAGAACCCAGAAAAAAAAGCAUAUGAUAGGAAUAGUUCUUGUUAAAAUUGCACAUCCUAAAGCUCUAUCAAGGCUGGGUGCAGAAGAUUCUCCUUCCUGAAAAUGUUUCAGUAUGCUCCAGUUUCUGCAAAGGUCUGUGCUCAGCUGACGUAUAUGGAAGUAGUGGCAUUUUCCUCAUACCUGCACCCAUCUCUUGGUAGUUGUUCUGUAUUCAUGAUUACUGCAAAUAUUAGCAGUGAUACAUUAAGAGAUAGUUCAGUAGUGCUUAUUGGGUUCAGAAAAUCCCUUGCAUAUAGAAAAAGAAUACCCUAGAAGUCCCUAAGAAAAUGCCAACUACAACCCUGGAAACUUCAUGGAACAGCUAAGUUUCUGCGAAGGACAUAGCUGCUUCAAAUGGGCACCAGUUUAACAGAUGCUUUCUGAUUUAUCAUUCUCAUGUAAGUUUUCCUACUCUUUUCUGUUUUCUAAAACUUGCCUCCAUAGGCAAUGCAAUCAGUGUAGUUGUAUAACUGCAUAAGCAAAACUGUGGAGAUACAAGAAAGUCUAAGUAAAGACUAUUUUUCACUCUAAGUUACUUUAUCCUGGUAGCACAAUCACAGUUCCAAAACAAUUUACCUUAAGAUCAAAAUAUUUUCUUCCAGCAGGAAGCUGGAAUUGUUUACCACAGAUAAAAACACCAAGGAAAAAAACUGAACAAAAAUAAAACACACUGAGUCUUGAAAAAGGCAUAACAAGGAGAAUUUGACCUUUUAAAUGGAAUUGUCUUUACAGACAACUCCUUCCAUCUGAGAUGUCCAGAGAACUUUUGACAUUUUUUGACAUUAGAAACAUUUGCUUUUUUCCAACUUUAAUUAAUUUUCAUAUUUCACAAAACAAGGUAAGAGCAGGCACACUGUAACAAAGGACUUAAGACCAGAUGAUGCAACAAUGGCAAACAGUACACUAGAAAUGUUCCUGCAUAGGAGAGGGUGAGGAGGAAGACUGGCUAGAUGCAUUUGACAAAUUCAUGUCUGUUUUGAUGGACAGAAAUAAUUUUCAUAAUUCAUUACAAAAUCAUACCUGUACUUAAUAAAAAGAAACACAAAUGCAGUCAGAUUGUGUAUCUCUUGGUGAAUCUGGUUUGGACAUUUAUUUAAAGGAAGCACUGAAACAGGGAAGAGCAAACCCUGUGCACUUCAAACUCCAAGAAAAGUCUUGCAUUUGACUUUGACCCGACAGAGGAACAGAAAUGCAGGAUAAAAAAUUUUCAACACUAUUUCCCCAUCACUAGAGCUCACACUCUUGAAUGGAAUUUGCAAGAACCCAGAAAAAAAAAAAAAAAAAGUAGGUUUUAAGAUACAUAAAGAAAUUAAAAGGUUAGACAGCUCCUGCUAUGGUCAACAAUCAGAUCUUGAAUUUCUGAGACAAACAACAUUCCUCAUUCUGCCUCAAGUCGAGGUAA